rnacentral:rRNA from 1 species
GUCUACGGCCAUACCACCCUGAACGCGCCCGAUCUCGUCUGAUCUCGGAAGCUAAGCAGGGUCGGGCCUGGUUAGUACUUGGAUGGGAGAAAAGUGAAAACUAGGAUUUGAAGCCC